rnacentral:rRNA from 1 species
GUGGGGAAUUUUGGACAAUGGGCGCAAGCCUGAUCCAGCAAUGCCGCGUGCAGGAAGAAGGCCUUCGGGUUGUAAACUGCUUUUGUACGGAACGAAACGGUCCGGGUUAAUACCCUGGGCUAAUGACGGUACCGUAAGAAUAAGCACCGGCUAACUACGUGCCAGCAGCCGCGGUAAUACGUAGGGUGCAAGCGUUAAUCGGAAUUACUGGGCGUAACGCGUGCGCAGGCGGUUUUGUAAGACAGGCGUGAAAUCCCCGGGCUCAACCUGGGAAUUGCGGUUGUGACUGCAAGGCUGGAGUGCGGCAGAGGGGGAUGGAAUUCCGCGUGUAGCAGUGAAAUGCGUAGAUAUGCGGAGGAACACCGAUGGCGAAGGCAAUCCCCUGGGCCUGCUCUGACGCUCAUGCACGAAAGCGUGGGGAGCAAACAGGAUUAGAAACCCUAGUAGUCC